rnacentral:misc_RNA from 1 species
GCCUGUCAGGAAAAAAUAGGCACGGGUUACCUGUCUGCUUUUCCAUCUGAGCUAUUUGAUCGUUUUGAGGCUAUAAAGCCUGUCUGGGCUCCAUAUUACACUAUUCAUAAGAUCUUGGCAGGUCUCUUGGAUCAAUAUACAUUUGCAGAUAAUGUUCAAGCUUUAAAAAUGGUGAAAUGGAUGGUUGAGUAUUUCUACAACCGUGUGCAAAAUGUUGUAACCAAAUAUAGUGUUGAAAGACAUUUUCUUUCACUCAAUGAAGAAACUGGGGGUAUGAAUGAUGUCCUUUACAGGUUAUUCAGCAUAACAGGAGAUCCAAAGCAUUUAAUAUUGGCUCACCUUUUUGACAAGCCAUGCUUCCUUGGCUUACUCGCAGUACAGGCUGAUGAUAUAUCAGGUUUCCAUGCCAAUACACAUAUCCCUAUUGUUAUUGGAUCGCAAAUGCGAUAUGAAGUAACUGGUGAUACACUUUAUAAGGAAAUAGGGACAUUCUUCAUGGACAUUGUUAACUCUUCUCACAGCUAUGCAACUGGAGGGACGUCAGUUAGCGAGUUCUGGUCAGACCCAAAACGCUUGGCUAGUACACUCUCAUCAGAGAAUGAGGAAUCAUGCACAACUUAUAAUAUGCUCAAGGUCUCCCGUCACCUAUUUCGAUGGACCAAAGAAAUGGCAUAUGCAGAUUAUUAUGAACGAGCUCUGACAAAUGGUGUGUUAGGCAUCCAAAGGGGAACGGAACCUGGAGUCAUGAUUUACAUGCUUCCACAAAAUCCUGGAAGUUCUAAGGCCAGAAGUUACCACGGAUGGGGAACACAGUUUGAUUCUUUCUGGUGCUGCUAUGGAACAGGAAUUGAAUCGUUUUCGAAGCUGGGAGAUUCCAUAUAUUUUGAAGAGGAAGGACAAGUCCCUGGUCUUUAUGUCAUCCAGUAUGUAUCAAGUUCUCUCGAUUGGAAAGCAGGACAAAUUGUGCUCGAUCAGCAAGUUGAUUCUGUUGUUUCUUGGGAUCCUUAUCUUCGAGUGACAUUGACCUUUUCUCCAAACAAGGGGACAAGCGAACCAUCUACCUUGAAUUUUCGGAUACCAAUUUGGACAAAUUCCGAUGGUGCCAUGGCAACAUUAAAUGCUCAAAGUUUGUCUGUACCAGCUCCAGGUAAUUUCUUAUCAAUCACCAGAAAAUGGAGCAGUGGUGAUAAACUUACUCUUCAGUUGCCUAUCAGUUUCAGAACAGAGUCUAUUAAAGAUGACCGGUCUGAGUAUGCUUCCGUUCAGGCGAUACUUUAUGGUCCUUAUCUGCUUGCGGGUCAUACCAUUGGUGACUGGAACAUCAAAUCUGGGUCAGCAGAUUCUCUUUCGGACUGGAUAACUCCAAUUCCUCCCACUUACAAUAAUUAUCUAGUAUCUUUUUCCCAACAAUCUGGAGAUUCAGCUUUGGCCUUAACAAACUCGAACCAAACCAUUACAAUGCAAAAUUUCCCUAAAUCUGGCACUGAUGCGUCUGUUUAUGCGACUUUUAGACUCAUCUUGAAUGGUUCAUCUUCCUCAGAAUUAUCAACAAUUGAAAAUGCUAUUGGAAACUAUGUCAUGCUAGAACCAUUUGAUCUACCAGGAAUGGUUUUAGUGCAGCAAGGAGAAGAUGAUGGGCUUGCAGUUGCAAGUUCUGACAGUGGCGAUGGAUCAUCCAUUUUCCGUUUGGUUUCAGGAUUGGAUGGAAAGGAUGGAACCAUAUCCUUGGAGUCGGUAAGCCAUGAGGGUUGCUUUGUGUUUAGUGGCGUGGAUUAUCAAUCAGGAACAAGCUUAAAGCUCAGCUGCAAUUCAGAAUCCUCAGACAUUCAUCAGGGAGCCAGCUUUGUAAUGAACAAAGGAUUAAGCGAGUAUCAUCCCAUCAGCUUUGUAGCAAAGGGAGAAAAAAGGAAUUUUCUUCUUGCACCAUUACUGAGUUUCAGAGAUGAAUCCUAUACUAUUUAUUUUAACAUUCAUGCUUAACAAGCUUGGGAGGACUCAGAAAGCCUAGUAUAUUCCUGUAAGGCAAUAAAUUACUCCUAUUUUAGCCUCCAGAGGGAUGUGGACACAAGCAGGGAUGAUCUCCUUUUUAAUUACAAAUAUAUCUCGUUAACUAAACAUAAAAAUUUGAUAAAAA